UCCCUUUGCUUUCGCCUCUCGAUCCGCGGAAAAGGGUUCCUUAUCGAGUGGGAAUCUUGAUGAUGCUGCAUCAGCAAAUACAUGGCUACUCUUGUCACUUCUUUUUUGUCAUUCUCUAGUGAAGAGAGUAAUGAUGUCUUGGAGAUCUUACACAAAAACACAAGGUAAAGUCUCUUUUCUUGUUUUCUGUCUCUUGGCAAUAUCUUGAUCAUGACAUGCUGUGAAAUAUCUGUAAGUUUAUGGUGUUUCUAUUUUGCUUUUGUUAUUGGCAAAAACAUUCA
rnacentral:precursor_RNA from 1 species